UCCCUGGUGGCUCAGCUGGUAGAGAAUCUGCCUGCAAUGCAGGAGACCCCGGUUCAAUUCCUGGGUUGGGAC
rnacentral:tRNA from 1 species